GAUGAACGCUGGCGGCGUGCCUAAUACAUGCAAGUCGAGCGAAUGGAUUAAGAGCUUGCUCUUAUGAAGUUAGCGGCGGACGGGUGAGUAACACGUGGGUAACCUGCCCAUAAGACUGGGAUAACUCCGGGAAACCGGGGCUAAUACCGGAUAACAUUUUGAACCGCAUGGUUCGAAAUUGAAAGGCGGCUUCGGCUGUCACUUAUGGAUGGGCCCGCGUCGCAUUAGCUAGUUGGUGAGGUAACGGCUCACCAAGGCAACGAUGCGUAGCCGGCCUGAGAGGGUGAUCGGGCACACGGGGACUGAGACACGGCCCAGACUCCUACGGGAGGCAGCAGUAGGGAAUCUUCCGCAAUGGACGAAAGUCUGACGGAGCAACGCCGCGUGAGUGAUGAAGGCUUUCGGGUCGUAAAACUCUGUUGUUAGGGAAGAACAAGUGCUAGUUGAAUAAGCUGGCACCUUGACGGUACCUAACCAGAAAGCCACGGCUAACUACGUGCCAGCCGCCGCCGUAA
rnacentral:rRNA from 1 species